rnacentral:lncRNA from 1 species
AUGCAGCUAUUGCUGCGCCUUGCCUGGUGUGAAUCACGUCCUGAUGCUAGCGGCCAUGUGGCUUUAUUGCAGCUGAUGAAGGACCGAAUGGUGGAGGAGAGCAAGCUCCUGAAGCCCCUCUUGGAGGCCUUAGUAGAAAGAUCUUGUGACCUUGUGAGCACUGUGUGGCAAGUGGCCAUGAGGGGCGUGGGCAACAUGGCCAGUGGAGCACCUGCGAAGGAGGAAGAGGUGCUGUGCUACUCAGCCUUUGCCCGCUACGGCACCCUGGCCUCCUCUGCCUUGGGGAAGAGGUCCUUUUUCAGCAGAGAGGUGGAGGAAGUGUUUCCCAGCCCUGUGCUGCAUCUCCGGGAUGUGGCCCCGGCCAUCUGCAAGGUAAAAGCCCCCAGAGCUCCUUGCAGAGCUGCAGAAAGCCCUGCGGCGCUGGCAGAGACACGGUGCCACUCCUGCCCACGUGGGCCUGCCGGCAUCUCUGCAGGCCCUCGCUGACACUGCCACAGCAAGGUUUCUCCCUUGGCACCCUGGGCAGGUGAGCAGUGUCCCCGUGACAGGGCCUGAUGCUUUUUUCCAGGCAUGCAAGGUUGCUCUGCAUCAGUACUCCCUGUUUUGGGGGUCGAAGAGGGCGCAGCAGCGUGUAACCGUGAGUGCCGGGCUGAGCAUGGCCAAGCUGCAGGACGAGGUCUGCAAUCACCUAGUGAGUGAGCUCUGCGCCAGGGCUGUGUCUAUGCAGCCGGCUGCCCCCAUGGCAUGCCACAUGGGUGCCUGGCUGUGGGUGGGUGGAAGGGCAUUUGCAGCUGGAGACAAGAUCCUGUGUCCCUGCUUUGCCCUAUGCCUGAGACUGCCCCGUGCUGCUGGAGAGGCUCCUGAGCACGACCCAGAGCUGCUGCACGGGGAGCUGCUGGGCACCGCAGGCGGCAGCCGUCACCAUCCUGGAUGAGAGGCAGCUCUGGGCUCUCGCACUGCUCCCAGCUGCAGCCCCCGGGUUGGGGUCUGGGGCUGGCUGUGCCACCCCUCUGUGUGCAGCUGCAUCCAAACCCACAGCACGGGCUGGGGUCAGGGUCUGGGUUUGGGGCUGUGCCCUGAUGGCUGCGUUUCCCCACGUGCCAGGUGUCCUCCUGGACACAGCGCUGGCCAAGUGGCUGCAGCAGUGGGACCUGGCAUUCCUGUUGGGAGGUAGGUGAGGUGACUGAGCUCCCACCCUGAGGGCUGAGGAGGCAUCUGGAGGCCCCGCAGGCAGGUGCUGCUAGCCAGCAGGAUGUGGGGAGGGAGGACUCGCGUGGCCUCCAGGCUCCUGGCCAGGGAAGCUGCCUCCAGCCAGGCACUGAGGGGCGCUGGGGAUGGUGGUGAAAACGGCGGCCGAGCGCCUGCAGUUCUUCCCUGCAGUGUCAUUGCAACUUGGCAGGGCUGGCAGUGCACUGAGGCCCCCUGUGUGGGGGGUCCUGACAGCCUGCUGCAGGAGGGCAAUAAAGCUCUGUCCAUG